rnacentral:rRNA from 1 species
GAUGAACGCUGGCGGCGUGCCUAAUACAUGCAAGUCGAGCGAACAGACGAGGAGCUUGCUCCUCUGACGUUAGCGGCGGACGGGUGAGUAACACGUGGAUAACCUACCUAUAAGACUGGGAUAACUUCGGGAAACCGGAGCUAAUACCGGAUAAUAUAUUGAACCGCAUGGUUCAAUAGUGAAAGACGGUUUUGCUGUCACUUAUAGAUGGAUCCGCGCCGCAUUAGCUAGUUGGUAAGGUAACGGCUUACCAAGGCAACGAUGCGUAGCCGACCUUAGAAGGUGAUCGGCCACACUGGAACUGAGACACGGUCCAGACUCCUACGGGAGGCAGCAGUAGGGAAUCUUCCGCAAUGGGCGAAAGCCUGACGGAGCAACGCCGCGUGAGUGAUGAAGGUCUUCGGAUCGUAAAACUCUGUUAUUAGGGAAGAACAAAUGUGUAAGUAACUAUGCACGUCUUGACGGUACCUAAUCAGAAAGCCACGGCUAACUACGUG